GAGGUAUGCCUAUAGGGCCCUAUAUUACAC
rnacentral:sRNA from 1 species